UCCCUGGUAGUCCAGUGGUUAGGACAUGGCGCUUUCACUGCUAGGGUCCAGGUUCCAUCCCUAGUAAGGGAA
rnacentral:tRNA from 1 species